rnacentral:tRNA from 1 species
GGGCGGUUAGCUCAGCGGUAGAGCACUACAUUCACACUGUAGGGGUCACAAGUUCGAUCCUUGUAUCGCCCACCA